CCCUUAGACACUCUAGGCGGCACGCGCGCUACAAUAGGUGGAAGAACGUGUUACUGCCUCCGAAAGGAGGGGUGAAUCACGAAUUCAUGCCCGUGAAUGGGAUAGUUUGUUGCAAUUUUCGGACUUGAACUAGGAAUCCCUUGUAAACAUGCUCAAGAAUAGCGUGUUGAAUACGUCCCUGCCGUUUGUACACACCGCCCGUCGUUUCUUCCGACUGAUACUCAUUGUGAGUUGCAAGGACCCUUUAUUGGGAAAUUGCUGCAAAUGCUUUGUAUUGGAGGAAGAAAAAGUCGUAACA
rnacentral:rRNA from 1 species